UACGGAGGGGGCUAGCGUUGUUCGGAAUUACUGGGCGUAAAGCGCACGUAGGCGGUUAUUCAAGUCAGAGGUGAAAGCCCAGUGCUCAACACUGGAACUGCCUUUGAAACUAGAUAGCUUGAAUCCAGGAGAGGUGAGUGGAAUUCCGAGUGUAGAGGUGAAAUUCGUAGAUAUUCGGAAGAACACCAGUGGCGAAGGCGGCUCACUGGACUGGUAUUGACGCUGAGACGGCGAAAGCGUGGGGAGCAAACAGG
rnacentral:rRNA from 1 species